rnacentral:tRNA from 1 species
GCUAAUAGGGCUGCUAUUGCAGGCUACUUUGAUAUAGUAGAUUGAGAACGAAUUGGUUCCGUUAGUA